rnacentral:rRNA from 1 species
CUACAAUGGUGUAACAAAGGGAAGCGAACCCGUGAGGGGGAGCAAAUCCCAAAAAUAACGUCCCAGUUCGGACUGUAGUCUGCAACCCGACUACACGAAGCUGGAAUCGCUAGUAAUCGCGAAUCAGAAUGUCGCGGUGAAUACGUUCCCGGGUCUUGUACACACCGCCCGUCACACCAUGGGAGUCGGGAAUGCCCGAAGUCAGUGACCCAACCUAUAGGAGGGAGCUGCCGAAGGCAGGUCUGAUAACUGGGGUGAAGUCGUAACAAGGUACC